rnacentral:rRNA from 1 species
AGGAUGAACGCUGGCGGCGUGCUUAACACAUGCAAGUCGAACGGUGAAGUGAGGAGCUUGCUCCUUGCGGAUCAGUGGCGAACGGGUGAGUAACACGUGAGUAACCUGCCCUUGACUCUGGGAUAAGCGUUGGAAACGACGUCUAAUACCGGAUACGACCUCCGAAGGCAUCUUCUGGAGGUGGAAAGAAUUUCGGUCAAGGAUGGACUCGCGGCCUAUCAGCUAGUUGGUGAGGUAAUGGCCCACCAAGGCGACGACGGGUAGCCGGCCUGAGAGGGUGACCGGCCACACUGGGACUGAGACACGGCCCAGACUCCUACGGGAGGCAGCAGUGGGGAAUAUUGCACAAUGGGCGCAAGCCUGAUGCAGCAACGCCGCGUGAGGGACGACGGCCUUCGGUUGUAACCUCUUUAGUAGGAAGAAGCGAUGUGCUUGUCACAUCAUGACGGUACCUGCAGAAAAGCACGGCUAACUACGCGCCAGCA